rnacentral:rRNA from 1 species
UGGGUCGUAAACUGCUUUUAUUCGGGAAUAAACUUAUUACGUGUAAUAAGCUGAAUGUACCGAAGGAAUAAGGAUCGGCUAACUCCGUGCCAGCAGCCGCGGUAAUACGGAGGAUCCAAGCGUUAUCCGGGAUUUAUUGGGUUUAAAGGGUGCGUAGGCGGCUUAUUAAGUCAGGGGUGAAAGACGGUGGCUCAACCAUCGCAGUGCCCUUGAUACUGAUGAGCUUGAAUACACUAGAGGUAGGCGGAAUGUGACAAGUAGCGGUGAAAUGCAUAGAUAUGUCACAGAACACCGAUUGCGAAGGCAGCUUACUAUGGUGUUAUUGACGCUGAGGCACGAAAGCGUGGGGAUCAAACAGGAUUAGAUACCCUGGUAGUCCACGCCCUAAACGAUGAAUACUCGCUGUUAGCGAUAUACAGUUAGCGGCUAAGCGAAAGCGUUAAGUAUUCCACCUGGGGAGUACGCCCGCAAGGGUGAAACUCAAAGGAAUUGACGGGGGCCCGCACAAGCGGAGGAGCAUGUGGUUUAAUUCGAUGAUACGCGAGGAACCUUACCCGGGCUUGAAAGUUAGUGAAUGAUCUAGAGAUAGAUCAGUGAGCAAUCACACGAAACUAGGUGCUGCAUGGCUGUCGUCAGCUCGUGCCGUGAGGUGUUGGGUUAAGUCCCGCAACGAGCGCAACCCCUAUGUUUAGUUGCCAGCACGUUAAGGUGGGGACUCUAAACAGACUGCCUGUGCAAACAGAGAGGAAGGAGGGGACGACGUCAAGUCAUCAUGGCCCUUACGUCCGGGGCUACACACGUGCUACAAUGGAUGGUACAGAGGGCAGCAAGCUGGCAACAGCAAGCAAAUCUCAAAAAGCCAUUCACAGUUCGGAUAGAGGUCUGCAACUCGACCUCUUGAAGUUGGAUUCGCUAGUAAUCGCGUAUCAGCAAUGACGCGGUGAAUACGUUCCCGGGCCUUGUACACACCGCCCGUCAAGCCAUGGAAGUUGGGGGUACCUAAAGUAUGUAACCGCAAGGAGC